rnacentral:rRNA from 1 species
GACGAACGCUGGCGGCGUGCUUAACACAUGCAAGUCGAACGAUGAACCCGGAGCUUGCUCCGGCGGAUUAGUGGCGAACGGGUGAGUAACACGUGAGUAACCUGCCCUUGACUCUGGGAUAACUGCGGGAAACUGUAGCUAAUACCGGAUACGACCCUCGGCGGCAUCGCCAGGGGGUGGAAAGAAUUUCGGUCAAGGAUGGACUCGCGGCCUAUCAGCCAGUUGGUGAGGUAACGGCUCACCAAGGCGACGACGGGUAGCCGGCCUGAGAGGGUGACCGGCCACACUGGGACUGAGACACGGCCCAGACUCCUACGGGAGGCAGCAGUGGGGAAUAUUGCACAAUGGGCGCAAGCCUGAUGCAGCAACACCGCGUGAGGGAUGACGGCCUUCGGGUUGUAAACCUCUUUUAGUAGGGAAGAAGCGAAAGUGACGGUACCUGCAGAAAAAGCACCGGCUAACUACGUGCCAGCCGCCGCGGUAA